rnacentral:lncRNA from 1 species
AAAAUCAAUCGCUCAUUCAUAUUCCACCUAACUCUGCUCCCACGCCUUUGUCCCUUUACAAACCCUAAUCUAAUUUCCCUCCCUCUAAUAUCAGAAGUCACACGAUUAGGGGUUCAAUCAAUUGCUUGUGAUCGGUGGAGGAUGAUUCAGUUGUGUUCAUAGAGAAGUUAUUAACGCCGUCGGCGUCAUCGAUGAAGCUCACCAUGGCAAUCGGUACAAAAAGGCUUUCCUAGAUCAUGCAAGCAGUGGGUCUGAUUCUGAAGCCAAUGCUCAGCUCACAUAAGAAGCCAGCAAAAAAUGGAUGCUGGGACAUAGCAUAUAUAAGGGAAAAAUCUGACAGUCUACUUUUUAAUUAUACGGUCUAUUUGGCAAUAUAAACUGGUACUUAUAGAAAGUUGAUGAACUGUGUGAAAGUUAUUGGGUGGAAUGGCUACUACUAUUGCUUAAGUUAAUUAUGUACCCUUGACCUUAGUUCCACUUUUGUUUCAAUUGGCAAAUUAUUAUAGAAUCUUGCUUCCUCUCAUGGGAGCUGUUGGUUUAGCAGUAUGGAUGUCAUCUGUCGCAAACCAAUGUAUGGAGGGUGAAGGACCAAAUGGUGAAGAGGAUAUGAAACUUUGCAUAAAAGGAGUCAGUGAUAACCAUCAACCAUGACACAAUUGAUGAGGAUAUUAUUUAUGAGCACAUUGAAGUUUCGAGUUUUUAUUUAAAUAUUU